rnacentral:lncRNA from 1 species
CUGGGCUCAAGUGAUCCUCGCAUCUCGGCCUCCCAAAGUUCUGGGAUUAUAGGCAUAAACCACCAUGCCUGCUCUAAUAGAACUUUCAAAUUAUAACUAAUAACAGCUGAUCUUUUAAUACUUAAAACACAUGUCUAGGAGAAAGUAGACUAUAUUAAAACAGCUUUUAAAAUUGUAUCAUGGAUAGAAGGCAAAUGAAAAAUUUUAAGCUAUUUUCACAUGUCGACAAAGGAUGAAAAUAAAAAAUUGCAAUUAAAUGGCCCUAUUGUUCCAAGUACCUUAACAUUAACCCAGCAUCUGACUGGCAUUCACAUUUGCAAGAUCCAAGGAUAUAGUUAUGUGAACAACAGCCCAGUCAAUACAUACAGGGAAAAGUUACUUCAGAUCUGAUUAGAUCUUUAGUAACCUUGAUCUUUCUAGAAGUAUAAACUUUAAUAAUGUGAGUUUGGGGAAGCUGUAUCAAGGCUAAACAUUCCAAUUAAAAUUCAUUAUGUGUUCUAACUCAGAAUCAAUCUUGUGUAAAAGUGUCAGAUAGUUGGACUUGUCAGUUUCAGGUAUUUACUUCAUUCAAAAAGGUAAAAAUGCCAUUUACCUAGGCUAGAAUUUUAUAUAAUCUCCAAUUUGGAUUAUACAGAUUCCCUAUAAUUACAAUAACACAUCCGACAAAAAUAUACAGACAUUUUGUGCAUAAAAAUGAAUAACUUUAAAUAAAGAAGUAAUUAAUUGGAGAUUAACCUGGGGAAAACUGCUGAGAGUCCAUAACAAUUAUAUUCUUCUCAGUUAUCAACAUAUUAUUCUAGAGUUAGGCACACUUAUUUCUUUAAACUCAUGAACACUGUAAAAAGAAAAAAAAAUUAAGUACUGAAAAAAAGAAAACCACAGAUAUACAUACACUAAUAUAAACACCACCACAAAAAUGCAAACAGAUUCAGAAUCCACACUGUUUCCUUGGAUUCCAAAACACACCAUUGGCCUUUACAUUGUCUGAAGGAUCUUGAGCUACAAUAUCUGCUAUGGAGUGUAACACAUCACUGUGAGAUUAUGAAACAUAUUUAUUUAUGUCUUAACAAAAAGAACACUGAGAACCAUCAUAAAUAACAAUCUAACUACAGUCCAAAUUCAAAGCUCACUUAUUUAUCCUCCACUGAUUUGAGAACUAAGAGAAGUUGGCCCUCCAGAUAUUAGUAGCUGAUUUGGAGAUAUUCAAAGGAUUGUUUUGCUUCAGUCAAUUUUUGUUUCAGAACUGUGGUUUUAACUUUACAUUCACUUUCAUUACAGAAAUUUGCUUCCUUAAACACGCACCGGUUUGAGCCCAGGUCAGCAGAUGACAAGGCUGCCUGAACUGCUAAAGCAGCAAUCUGUGUCCAAUCUGAGACUGCCUCCCUAUAAAGCCUACCUGCCCUGACCUACCCUCCUGGAAUGAAGUCCCAUGUAACCCCAGGAUGACUCUUCUAUGCUUUUACGAAUAAGAGAAAGUGACCUCUUCCAAAAUUAGACAACCCACACUCUCAAGCAAGCAAAAUCAAAAUCAGAAUCUAGGUAGCAAUCAAAACCACCAAUUGACUUGGUUGAAACUUCAGAGUCUUCUUUUGAAGACUUCUCAUUGAUUCCCUGAGGAUUUUUAGAGACGACAACUAAAGGAAAAACAUGGCAUGGGCAAGAUUUGUGUUUCAAGGGCAAUUCUACAUAACUUAAAACUAGGUGAACUGUUGUUUUCAAGACGAUUCAAAUGUGCCUCAUUUUUAAAACAUGUAGUAUUUAUUCUUCUGCGAAAAUAGUUAAUGCAAGCCCACGAUUUAAAAAAAAAACCAAAAGUCCUAAAAGGUAUGUGAAAGGUAAGGGUAAGUCUCCCUCCUCACCCUCUCAUUUGUCUCCCCAAUCCCCCUUCCCGGGACGACUACUGUUUCUCAGGAACCUUUCCCUAGCCAUUCUAUGCAAAUGCAAACAUAAGCGAGUGUUUUAAACCAAUUAUGCCACAUUAUACACACCGUGGCAGCACCAAAAUUGCUAUUAAACGCCUCCGGGCGUAAAGGUGGCAAUCUGCUGAGGGGUGUGGGGUGGGAAGAAGGAGACUAUCUUGAUGCAGCGGUUUUGCUCGUCAGGCAACCGAUUUCUACUUCUUGUUUUUGUUUGCAUGCCUUUACAAGGCUCUCGGAGAUCGGAGAUCGAAGAGAAGGUAAAUCCACCAAAGCCACCCCCUGGCACUGCCACGAUAGCCACCCUGCUCUGCACGUUUCUGUCUCAAUCUAUGAAGUAUGUUCUAUACUUUCAUGGAGUUAAAUCGACUCACUUUCAAAAAAGAAAACAAAACAAAACAAACAACAACAAAAAAACGCCUAACUCUGAAGGUAACUUUCAGAGUCUGAAGGUAACUUUCAGAGCCAGGUGAUUUCCGAACCAGGUGAUUUCCUCCCCGCCAAACGUGCAGCCUCUGCAGCCUGCUUCAGUCGUGUCCUUAGGAAAGGUUCAGCCUGGCACGGAGUUGGAGGGGCGAGCCAAGAGCAGAGAAGCCCCAAGACGAGAGACCGAGUUCUUCUGUAUACAAGGAGAAAGUAUUCUCUCUCAAACAGUAAACUCCCUUUUAUCACAGAGCAGGCUCCAGGCUCAAAGCCCUAGAUGGAGAUAAAGUAUUUUGAGGAGGGAGGAGAGUGUAUUUCUUCAUUUACACAAAGAUACUCAUAUGGAGCUGGGGGCAGUUCUUCCCCAAAAGGAAACAUUGAACUCAAAGUUCCAUGUAAGCAAGGACUGUGGCUGUCAUGUCUACCAUUGUAUAUCCCAGCACCUAGCACUGGACCUAGUAUAAAUUUUGUGCUAAAUUAAUAUUUAUUGACUGCAUGGAUGAACUCUCUAUUUUAUUUAUGGUUCUUCCAAUUUAUUGCUAUCUGUUUUCCAUUACUUGCCUUCUCUUACCCUGAAAUUAUGCAUCUGGAAUGAAGUAUUUUAAUAAAAUUAUUGAUGAACAUAAUGGAAA